rnacentral:rRNA from 1 species
UAGAUACCCUAUUAUUUUGGAUUUAAAUAUUUAAGCUUGAGUAGUAUUAGUUAUGAUCUUGAAACUUAAAGAAUUUGGCGGUAUUUUAGUCUGGUUAGAGGAAUCUGUCCCGUGAUCGAUAAUCCACGUUGAACCUUACUUAAUAUAAUUUAAUAUGUAUAUCGCCGUUUAUUUGAAGAUCUUUUUAGGGAAUCUUCUUUAAAUUUUAAUUAAUUUUAUUUCAGGUCAAGGUGCAGUUAAUAAUUAAGUGGUGAUGGAUUACAAUAUUUAUAAAAUAAAUGAAUUAGAAUUUGAAAAUAUUUUAUGAAGGGGGAUUUAACAGUAAUUAAUAAUAAGAAUUAUUUUUGUGAUAUUAGCUCUGAAAUGUGCACACAUCGCCCGUCACUCUCGUUAUUAAGAUGAGAUAAGUC